CAGUACGAAAGCAAGCCACCACUUCAAGAACACAAGCAACACUGUCAAGAGCUGUGGAUGCUGGCGAUACAGGAACUUCAACAUCGCAUCACAGUCCACAAAGACGUCCUUCACAGGGGUCUGGCAGCCACACGAGCAGGCCUAGCAAGAGACGUCAUCCUGAUGUCGCACCAACACCAGCAUUAAGCACACCCCCACGUCGUAUUUCAACUGUGUUGCCUCUGCCACCAGAACACAUUUUGGAGAGUACUCAAUCACCGGGACCACAUUCCCCUCAGCUGUCUGAACCAGACAUCAUGCCCCCGGAAGCCCAGCAGGAAUCUGAACAGGAAACAUACACCCUCCAUCUGCAAGCAAUAGAUGUUAACCAAC